rnacentral:rRNA from 1 species
UUUUGAAAAUAAUUUAAAGUAGGGCCUGCCCACUGAGUAUUUGAAGGGCCGCAGUAUUUUGACUGUGCAAAGGUAGCAUAAUCAUUAGUUUUUUAAUUGAAAGCUUGUAUGAAUGGUUUGAUGAGAAAAUAACUUUCUAUGUUUAAAUUUUUAAAAAUUUUAUUUUUAAGUUAAAAAGCUUAAAUUUUUAUAAUAGACGAGAAGACCCUAUAGAGUUUAAUUUUUGUAAAUUUUUUAAAUUUUUAGAAUUUUAUAAUUAAAAUUUUUAUAAUAAUUUGAUUGGGGUGAUUAAAAAAUUAAAUUAACUUUUUUUAUAUUUAAACAUAAAUUUAUGAAUAUUUGAUCCAUAAUAAUGAUUAAAAGAUUAAAUUACCUUAGGGAUAACAGCGUUAUUUUUUUUUAGAGUUCAAAUCGAAAAAAGAGAUUGCGACCUCGAUGUUGGAUUAAAGUUAAUUUUAGGUGCAGAAGCUUAAAUAUUUGGUCUGUUCGACCAUUAAAACUUUACA